CACGUAGGCGGACUGGAAAGUUGGAGGUGAAAUCCCAGGGCUCAACCUUGGAACUGCCUUCAAAGCUAUCAGUCUGGAGUUCGAGAGAGGUGAGUGGAAUUCCGAGUGUAGAGGUGAAAUUCGUAGAUAUUCGGAGGAACACCAGUGGCGAAGGCGGCUCACUGGCUCGAUACUGACGCUGAGGUGCGAAAGCGUGGGAGCAAACA
rnacentral:rRNA from 1 species